AUCCAGCUGACGAGUCUCAAAUAGGACGAAACGUGCGUCCUAGCU
rnacentral:hammerhead_ribozyme from 1 species